rnacentral:lncRNA from 1 species
UUGACCUAUAAUGGUUUCAUUUUAUAAAUUGUGACUUGGAUAAAGAAUUGUCUCUUUGGCACUCAUACCAAAUCUUCUUAUAUCUAUCUAUCCUGGCUGUCUCGAAAUUGCUUAAUAAAACCUAAGAUUAAACAGCAGAGUGACAAAAAAAAUGUAACAGUACUAAUAACAGCAACACCAACACUCGGUACCGAUAAAACAGACGAUAAAAGGGAGACAAACACAAAGGAAAAGCAUAUGGUCCAGAAAGCCUUCAAGUAAGUAUUCAUAGUCUGUGUUUCGUUUUUUUUUAGAGCUGUAAGUGUGUGACCUGGUCAUGUUUCGUUUUUGUUAUUACAUUGUAAGUUUGUUUUCGCAGUUUUAAAGCCCACUGUUAGUCGCUACUAUAACAGUUGUUAGCUAUUCGUUCGAUGGGUUUCAGCUUUUGAUAUUGUCAUUUGAUUAGGGGCC